AUCUAACGUCUCUGUCAUUUUGGUGUCGACACCUAUUGAUUGUCUUUUUCUUCAUUCACUUUGUGAUCUUUCUGGUUGCUGUUAUGAUGAGUAAUUUUCAGUUGAAACCUGGACAUCUUUGUUUUAUGUUGUGAUAUUCUGGAUAUUAUUUAAACAUAUUUUAGCUGGCUUCCUCUGACACCACUCCAGUAGGGGAAAAGAGGGCUGUCUCUUGACACUGCUAGGUGGAGGGAGAUGUCCAGAUUCUCCAGCGGGCCUCCAUUGACACCCAGUGCAGGGGGCUCUUUUUCAUAGCUGGAUGAGGAUCAGAGUUCUGGUUUCCCACUAGGCCCCCGCUGACACCUCUCUUGCUGGAAGGGUAGAUGGGCCUCAUUUCUGCUCCCUGUAUGGCCACACUGACACCACCAGGGAGGGAUGUCCUUGUUACAGCUGGGCACUGGUGAAAGUUCUGAAUCUCCACUAGUCCUCCUCUGACACUAUCCCAGUGAUAGGGAGAGGCACCUCAGUAUUCUGGGAGGGAGUGGAGGUCCAGUGUCUGCUGACACUGUCGGGAGGGGAUGGUUACUGCCUGGCAGACAUGAAAGUUGCAGCUUCCUAUUUGGCCUUUUCUGAUAACACCUGAUGAGUGUUGGGGCUACCUCAUUACAGCCCGACGAGGAUAGACAUUGAGGCUCCUCACUGGUCCUUCCUGGAAGAGGUGUGUGGAGCCAGAGUGUUUUCUGUGCUUUUUGGCAGGAGUAGAGUGAUUACUGCCUAAAAGUUUUCUAUCUUCCUACACUGCCUCUUUCCUGGUCCUUUGGCUAAGGAGAACAGGCUUUUGUUGAGGCUAUUUUUAAUCGGUGCCCAUUGCCAUUUCUGAGUUGCUGACUCCUUCAGCUCCUAGUCUGGCAUACGUGAAACAAAAAGAAAACCCAGGCAGCUCAACAGGGUGUUGUUCUUUGGGUCCUGAGGUCCCAUCUUCCGUCUCUUCUCCACCUUUCAGAGUCUUAUGUUUGUUUUAUCCACAAUGUCCAGGCUUUUUAGUUAUACUUAGUGGAGGAAUAGGGAAAUGUAUGCCUGCUCCUUCUUCCUGGAAGCAGAAGUGUAUCCAUAUAUUAUUUUUGUAUUAAGAAAAAAAUACAUAUUUUUAACAAAACCAAACCCAAGAUUUAAAUUGCAGUUAGAAGUAUAUGAGUUUAUCAGGGGCACUUGCCUGAUUUCAUCAGACACAGUGAAAUGGGUGACCAUGGUCGUGGGUGAUGAUUACAAACAGUACCUUAUUUUACUGAGCACAUGCUAUGUAGUUUGUAUACAUUCUCCCUUUUUUAUGAAUCCUUACAGCAAACCUGUGAGACCAGCAUUGUUCCCAUUUUACAGUGAAGUAAACUGAGAUACAGAAAGUUUAAGAAAAUGUUUUCCGCAUUAUAUACCUAAUGAGUGAGACGGGAGGGAUCCAAACUCUAGCUUGUCUUAAUCCAAAACCCCCAUGCUCUUAGUCUGUGUUCCGCUGAGGAAAGGCUGGAGUAUUUAGGUGACAUCCUGUAGACAACAAGAAAUGUAUAAUGUGACUGAGCAGCCCCCAUUAUCUGUGGUUUUGUAGAAAGCACUUAGGGUCCCCUUGAAGGGAUCUGUUUUUGCCUAGACUACUGAAGGCAUUUCUUGUAUUUUAUGUUACUUCCAUAAACAACUUCAAGAUGUAGGUGGCAGCCAGACUCACUGAUGAACAGAUGGGGAACCUGUAGCUCAGAGAGGUCGAAUGACUUGUCUAAGACCAUAUGGCCUUUAAUGCUGGAAGCCGACCUGGAAAGAAGGUCUUUCGAGUCAGGAACCAGUAGGCACACCACCAGCUCCCAGCGCUGCUUCCGACUUGAUCUCUGCACCACUGCUUUGUUCUGACCAAGCAGAGUCGUGGUGUAGGGAGAGUCUGCCGCAGUGAAAUCAAGGCCUUUCCUUCAGCAGCCUCCUGGCUUGCACCAGUUUGCAGACUGUAUCUGAUGGAAACCUUAUGCGGAACAAAAAACAAACCUGAAAACCAGGCCCAUCUCAAUAUCUCCAUCCGCUGGAUAAACAUCUCCAAGACAGACGCACAGGGAGGCCAAAUUCUCUUCGCCAAGUUUUUAACCUAAAGUUUGGAAGCAGCUUGCAUUUUCCGUGGAGCGGUAAACUAUUUUCAUUCCUUUUACCGUGAACGACUCCUUAUGGGGCGAUAAUUUACUUUUAAUCUCUCUUUCAGGAACUGAUGAUUUUGCCUUCUUGCCUGAAAUAAAUUGUGGGUUAAAAGAAAAGGCCCAUUUUUUGAAGUUUUCUUCCUUCCCAUCUUUUCUUUUUUCUCUUUUGAAAGCCUGCUUUGGGAGUCUUUGGAGCCUUGCCUCUUUAUUCGGAGAGAACUUGGCUCCUUCGUGGUGCCCCCAUUCCUCUGCCGAAUCUAAUCUGACUGUUCUAUUUAUAAUUCUUGAGCAAGAUGAAUCUCGUCUUUGUGUUUCUUUCUGAGCAACAGCGUCCCCUCCCUAGGACUUGAGCCAUUUAACCUCUACAAGAAUCUCUUUAAUUUCUCUGCAAAUUGCCAGAAAGCAGGCAGCUGAAACCCUAUCAGGUCCUGGAUCAUAUCAGACCUGCUUUAAACUGGCACCCUCCUCCAUCCCUGAAUCCCCUGGGAGUUCAUUUAGGAACAAGGCUGUGCAGAGAAAUUCCCAGCAGCCCUUUGGUGACGCCAGCGCAGUCUGGGAAGUCUGACAGGGAGGGGCACGCUCUCUGGAGAACGGAGAGGCUCUAAGAUGGAAACUGCCCAUUUUUUAUAAUCAGGCUUCGGUUCCUCCCAGAUCCCUCAAGGCUUAUAUAUACAUUAUGUGCUAUUUACCCUUAAACCUAGAUUCAUGAAGUUAUUUUGCCUGGAAACCAUCUAGCCCAAAUCCCUUGUUUUGUAAAGAAGAAAAUGGAGAUUAAAAGAAGGGAACUGACUGAGCCAAAGUCACACAGCUAGUUAGUUCAAAAGUUGAGACUAUAAAGUAGAUACCCCACCUUACACCGCCAUGAGCUUAUGAAGGCAUUAUUUUGAUUUAAUGCAUCCACUCCAAUUAAAUGACGUUUAAAAAAGUGCAUUUCUAUUUUUUUCUCCCGAGGAAGAUUAGCCCUGAGCUAACAUCUGCUGCCAAUCCUCCUCUUUUUACUGAGGAAGACUGGGCCUGAGCUAACAUCCGUGCCCAUCUUCCUCUACUUUAUAUGUGGGAUGCCUACCACAGCAUGGCGUGCCAAGCGGUGCCAUGUCCGCACCCGGGAUCCUGACUGGCAAACCCCGGGGAAACCACCGAAGGGGAAUGUGCGCACUUAACCUCUGUGCCACCGGGCUGGCCCACAUUUCUAUUUUUUAUGUAUUUCUAGCAUCUUCUAAUUCCUCUCUUCCUUCCCUGUCACCCACACUUCAUUUUUGGCCAGUCCCCUCUCCUAUGUCCAAUACAAGUGUCUCUGUUCUUAGGGGGUCUUAAUAGUCCCACUGGACAAUAACUUUCACAACCAGGGUUUGAGAAAGAUGUGAUGAGCCCAGAAUCCCACACCUAGAGCUGGGAGAUCUUGGAGCACAUGAAGACCUCCAAAGCUGUGAAGGGAUUUUGUCAGGUCACACAACAAGUUAGUGACCAAGCCAGGAUUAGAGCUGGAGAUUCCCUCCUUCCUUUCCAGAGCAUUCUACUCUACUCCAAGUUCCUGCUGGCUCUGUGUGCUUCCCCUUUCUGACCAGGUUCUGGAAUGUCCAUUUAGACAAUUCUUUUUAGUUAGGGCUCACCUAGACCAAGCAGACUUCUAGCCUGACAUUCAUUUGUAAUAGGAGGAUGUUCCAUCAUACUCACAAAUCUAACCACAUUUUAACUUCAUUUGCCAUGAGCUUCUUUGUAAAAUUAAAGAAGAAAGGGCCAAAAUACUUACUCUGGCCUCCAUAACAUAAUUGGUCUUUUUUUCUAGCAAGACAAACUAAGAUGAUUUUAUAAGUUUUUGAGGACCAGGAAGCAGUGUGUCAUUCAACAUAUAUAAGCAUUUACCCUUUAAAGCUACCGGGUAGAGACCCAUUUGAGUAUAACACAUUUGCUACUUUAAAUCAAGCAUAGCUUUAUUUAAUUCAUGCUGAGAUCCAGGUGAGGAAAGGCUCUAAUCAAUGGCUUCCUAAGCUUGGAACCGUCUCUGUGCCCCCACUUCCCUCUUUCCAUGCCCUACCUUUUGCUUGUGGUUCUAAAUUCUUUGGGAGGUGUGGUGUAGUGUGCUUUUUGGAAAGCAUCCGACGAGAAAACCGAGUUUAAAUAUUUUGAGAGAGUCCACUUGCCUUCACUGUAAGCUCCUGCCUUGCUUACCGUCUAGGAAUUCCCUCCAGUAAAUUAAGGACAUGAGUAUUUAUUUAGUACACAGAGAGAAGGGAAAUUAUACACUUCAGCGAAGAAGAUUUGUGAAUGGCUGAUAAGAAUAUGAAAAGAUGCCCCGCAUUAUUAGUCAAUAAGGAAAUGUAAAUUAAAAGCGCAAUGGGAUAACACUAAAUCCCCUCUAGAAUGGCUAUAGUCAAGAAGACGAACCAUACCAAGUGUUGGCAGAGAUGUGGAGAAACUGUUUCCCCUAAAAUGUGUGGUCACUAAGGUAUCUCUUGAAAUUUUUUAUUCUUAUUUUUGUUUUUAUCCUGGCUUCCUAGAAGUCACUUCUGUGUCUGCAUAGUUUAAUGGUCAGCUGGUGAUCUGGGCAGAGGUUGUGUUUGAUUCGGUAAGGAUCUUACCCUGUGCUGAUGGAUCUGUGUGUGACCUGGGAUACAGUUUACACUUGCAACAAAUUCUCAAGUCUCCCUUGGCUUUUAUCUCCAGAAUUUCUUGGGUCUCCCUUGCACAUGUCUGUAGUUUCACAGUCACUAAGGUAUGUGUGAGAAGUUUAUUCAGCUCUUCUAUGGCUUUCUUAUUUCCAAGAUCUCUCAAUUAAAUUUUUGACUGGUUUACCACUCACCACAUCUAAGGUUGGAGUCUUGAACUAGCAUGCUGCUUUGGGGUUUCCCCAUUUGUUUCCUACAGAAGUCACCACUUUCAGCUGGAAAAGCCCUGGGUUUUUGCUCCCCACUCCACCUCUCCAACCGCUGUCGUGAAUUGAGCCGACUCCCUCUGGCAGCAAAGUUUCUGGCUUUGCAGCCAGCCCAGCACUGGCAAAGCUACAAUUCUUACCAACUAAGCUGGGCAAGGGAUAAGAGCAGCCCCAAGCAAAGGGAUGACAGACCCCUGCUGUUCUCACUCAAAGUUCUAGCAGCGUUUCAAGAAUAAAUGCUUUCCAAUUUGUUAUCUGCCUGUGGUUGAUUUCCAGGGCCUUGAAAUACUUGAUUUUUGACAGUUUUGUCCAGUGUUAUACUUGUUUUUGAAGCACUACUUCUUCAUCCUGCCAUAAUCAAGAGUCCCUCCAAUGAUGGUGUCUUUUGAUGUGCAGAGUACUUUAAUUUUAGUAUAGGCAGAUUAAUCAAUCUUUUCUUUUAUGGUUUUUAUGUGUUGAGUCUUUAAGGAAGUCUUUCUCAUCACAAAAUCAUCAAUAUAUUUCCUAUAACUCUUCCAAACCUUUAAGGUUUAUAUUUUUUUGUCUAAUGUAAAUAACUUAUAAUGGAUGUGGAGUAAGGUAGGAAUCUUUUUUCUUUUUCAUAUGGAUAAUAUUUAUUUUGGCAGCAUUUAUUGAAUAGCCCAUCCUUUUCCCACUGAUAG
rnacentral:lncRNA from 1 species